ACGCUGGCGGCAUGCUAACACAUGCAAGUCGAACGAGACCUUCGGGUCUAGUGGCGCACGGGUGCGUAACACGUGGGAAUUUGCCUCGGGGUAUGGAAUAACUCAGGGAAACUUGAGCUAAUACCAUAUAAUGUCUUCGGACCAAAGAUUUAUCGCCCUGAGAUAAGCCCGCGUAGGAUUAGCUAGUUGGUGGGGUAAAGGCUCACCAAGGCGACGAUCCUUAGCUGGUCUGAGAGGAUGAUCAGCCACACUGGGACUGAGACACGGCCCAGACUCCUACGGGAGGCAGCAGUGGGGGAAUAUUGGACGAUGGGCGAAAGCCUGAUCCAGCAAUGCCGCGUGAGUGAUGAAGGCCUUCGGGUUGUAAAGCUCUUUUACUCGGGACGAUAAUGACGGUACCGAGAGAAUAAGCCCCGGCUAACUCCGUG
rnacentral:rRNA from 1 species